GAUGAACGCUGGCGGCGUGCCUAAUACAUGCAAGUCGAGCGAUCAGACGUUGAGCUUGCUCCUCUGACGUUAGCGGCGGACGGGUGAGUACCACGCGGAUAACCUACCUUUAAUACUGGGAUAACUUCGGGAAACCGGAUCCAAUCCCGGAUAAUAUACUGAACCGCAUGGUUCCAUAGUCAAAGACGGUUGUGCUGUCACUUAUAGAUGGAUCCGCGCCGCAUUAGCUAGUUGGUAAGGUAACGGCUUACCAAGGCAACGAUGCGUAGCCGACCUGAGAGGGUGAUCGGCCACACUGGAACUGAGACACGGUCCAGACUCCUACGGGAGGCAGCAGUAGGGAAUCUUCCGCAAUGGGCGAAAGCCUGACGGAGCAACGCCGCGUGAGUGAUGAAGGUCUUCGGAUCGUAAAACUCUGUUAUUAGGGAAGAACAAAUGUGUAAGUAACUAUGCACGUCUUGACGGUACCUAAUCAGAAAGCCACGGCUAACUACGUG
rnacentral:rRNA from 1 species